UGAGGGUUUAGCCACUUAGCCCA
rnacentral:siRNA from 1 species